ensembl:lncRNA
CUGAAAUCACUCAGACAUGGAGAGGCCAAAGUCCCUUUCUGGUGCACCCUGAGAGAGCAGGAUGGUGCUUCUGCUCCCACAGAGGAUUCUUUUUGUCUCCUUACUCUGGAGAAAGCCCACGAGGCUGAAUCUUACACAACACAUUUGACAAAUGAGGCUGUGGUGAGAUUGUGGCUUUAGUGAACAGAUGCGGUGACACAGGGUGGGAAAGUCCCCAGAACUCCCACCAAGAGGAAAAGGGAUGGAAUUUACCAGCGACCAAGCUGAAGGAGCAGGAUGGAACGGUGAGAAAGGAGCUGGUUCCAGGUUAGUCACCUAUGACUGCUGAGGUUAGGAAGGACUGAGUUAGCAGGCAGUAUUUUUUUUUCCCUUUCUUUUUGAGGUCUUCAGGUUCCCUGGGUCAAAGGCAGAAGCAGAGGAAUGCCACUGCAGGGUGUAAAUCAAAAGGAGGAGAAACAAUCAUUUGCUCUCAUCGAAGUGGGAAGUGCAAGAACGUGAAUGCAGGAAGCAAACAAAGUUGGUAACACCUCUUGGCAGUGAGGUGUGCUUGUUCUGAAAAUGAACGCUUUCUGAAGGAUGUGGAGCUGCUGUGCAUCUCAUGGCAAGCAAUCCCUGACAAAGCAGAAGUAAGGGGGGGCCGCAGUGGGCCCUUCUCUCUCUUUCACUUUCGCACAAACAUAUGUAGUUCUUUUUCUUGGAAAUGUGGGAAAGGAUUACAAAUACAGAGCCGUUUUAAAUGAAUGAAUUCAUCUAGGGAGUGCUAUGGCUAAUGUUACACAGGAAUUCAGUCUGAACGUGGGAUUAAACUCACCUAAUUUUAAAGCUGUCUAGUAUUUAGGUAUUUUUGAGCUGUAUAGCUAUCUGUUUAGACACUGGAGAAAGAUGUGUAUCUCUGAGGAGUAUUUAUCCUAGCCUGUAUCAGAGGUGGGGGGUAUUCCAGAUUGUCAGUGCCUUCUUUUCUUCCUUAACUGAAGCUGCUUGAUAUAGGAACCUAACUUAUAAUUGGCUGAAACUGUUGAUGAACCUCAUGUAGAUGUGAUGAACUUCAGUGUAGAUAAGAAUGAGUCCUUCCAGCCUUCACCAUCUGAUUUAUUACAUAAACAUUCUCCUGCAUCACAUGUAGGAAGAUAGAAAAGUUGUUUUCCCAGUGCAAGUAACAAUAAGCAGUACUUCACAAGACUGCAGAGGACCCCAAGGCCUUUGUGCUGUAUUGUGAACAAAAGAAUUACCAAUGCAGACCAUUUUCUUCUUCCCUUUUCAACUAACAGAAGAAGAAACAGAUUUCCAGGAAUUAUGCUUUUUUAAGGCACAUUUCAGCAAUAUUUUGGGGAUGAUGCAGCCUUUUAUUAAAAAAACAAAAAAAAAACCAAAAAACCAAAAAAAAAAAAACAAGAAGAUUUUAAAGGCAGCUUGCAUACAUAAAGUUCUAACUGAAACUAACUUUUGUAUCUCUUCUUAUGCAUUAGGCACUUCUGGAUACAUUUCCUCUGUAGAAAUAUUCCUUGUAUUAACAGUGAGGAUCACCACGGAGUCUGAUGCCUAUUAGUUUUUUUUAAUGUAGUGUAGCUAGAUAGAAACUUAUUCAUGGGUCUAAAAUGCUGUUCAGGAAAGGGCAGAGACAGGCACCCCCGGGUUGCACAUGCUGGUUCCAAAGUCACAGACAUUCAGGGAAGAAAAGGCUCCGGUAUGAAGACGCUAAGGCUUCAAGAAUGCAGGUGGGAUGAGUCAGUUGCCACUUUGGGGCUGGAAAUCACAACUGCUGCUUUGCUGUCCAUGGAACACUGCUGCGAAUAGAUGCCCCAGGAGAACAGAAGAUUGAGCAUGCUGCCCUUUGGCCAUUGGCACUAAUUUGCCAAUUCAGUAGAGAUGACAAAAGAUGAAGUGGGGAGUCCAUGCCCAUCUCAGGUAAAAGAAUUGCCUGUUUCAAGAAAACUGGGAAACACUGAUAGGACAAAAUAAAUGGGAGAAGAACAAGACUCCUAUGUCAUCUUGUGGACUUCAGACACAGCGACAGAUCAAACGUAGUUAUGGUGAGAAAACAUUGAUAUUCUGCCUUCUCCUUGAGCAUAAAGCAGACAACAAACACCUCACUUUAACCUGUAAAUGCUAGGAGGGCUUUGUAUGGACGCUCUAGGUUUGUCGGAAUUUUCUUCCUUCUAAAACGAAUCUCAGAGUCACUGUAGACUAAGAAAAAGAGCAGAUUAAUCGAAUCGGCCUCCCGAACCACCCAGAUUGUACUUCACAAAGGAUUUUGUGUGUUCUUAGCAAGGUCAAUUGACUAAGUAGUCAUCUGUGAGUGUGGAUUCUUGUCUCUUUCUAACCUUCUCUCAAAUUAGGAGAUAUCUGGGCUUGGUGCUCUAUUUUGCCAGUUGCUCUGGCUUCAAAUUUUGAAUUUUUUUAAAAAAUUACACAGUUGAGUCUAAUGCUCAAUUUCAGUGGUUUCCAGGGGAUUAUUUGUAGUGCCUAUUCUGCUAUACAGAGAAAUCUUUCUUUAAAAACACGAUCCAUCUUUCUAGUAGUACUUCAUUUAGAAAUUCAGAGUGGGCAGAUAGCCCUGAGAUAUGGAUAUCCUCUUCUUUUGCCUUCUAUCUGAAAAAGGGGGAAAAAAAAAUCUAGUAUUUUUUUCAGUAUUGCUGAUGUCCCAGACACGUCUGAGUAACUGUCAUGUACAAUCAGUAUCUAUCCAUGGGAAUCUCAUAGAACCAGGGUGGUUUUAAUGUUCACCAGAAUAUUUCUGUGAGAGUUCCUAGGAUGCCAGGGAAAGCACUGACUGACCACAGAAAACAGAUAUGAGACAAGUGCAUGACGACUUUUUUUUUUUUUUUUAAGGAAAAAAGUAUUAAGGAUCCAACUGAGAACUACACUGACACAACUAUAUUUACUUUUGGUCACUGUUAAGUCUGUGUUUUCCAGCCUGUUAACUCCACGAGAAUAAGACAUAGCUGCAGUAUGGAGCUGAGUCAGUUUGGAUUCAGCAUUUAAAGAAAGAAUGGAAGAGAAGCAACCAGGUGUCAAAAGAUGUAAGUAGGUUAGAUCACAAUGAGGAGAUAGCCUUCCCAUCUGCUGGGAACUCCUUUGCAAGGUAAGACUGUUAGAUGUACAAGUCCCUGGCUGGGACUGGUGAAGAGGAUGUAAGCAUGGAAACUAACAGAGCUCUACUAUGAUCAAGUAGGGGAUGAGGGCAGCAUUCCCUAUAAAAAGGAUCUUGAGGUCCCUGCUGAGGUGCCAAGGUUGAAUAUUUUGCCAGAGGUGGAAACUGAAUUGAUUUGUGCCCCUCAGGCUAGCUCCAGGAACCUCACUCCUGCCUGAGAGCAUUAGUCCACAUGUGGAGAGAGGCUUUUCAGCUGGAGACGAGUUUAUGGCUUUUGACUUUUUCAUGUUCAUGUGUUUUUAUAAAGCCACAAUCGUUUUGUUUUUUUUUUUUAUUGGGCUUUUAUAGAAAGGUCUCUGAAGUCUAGCAAAAUCUCAGCUUAACAGUAGAGAUUGUGCUAGAGAGACAUAUAAGAAGUAAGAGAAAAUAAGAAGGCCAUGGGAGAGAUGGGUAAAUACAGAAGUGCAAGCAGAGUUCUGUCAAAGCAAGUUUCUGACUUACACAUUUAACUUUAUCCGUCAGCCUAGGGGCAAGUCUACAGCAUGAUUAACCUCCUAGAUCUCACUUGUUCCAGGUCCAAGCAUUAUCUGGCCAGAGUGCAUUGCCAAUCCACCAUGCCAGCCAUCCCACCAGAGGCAUCUUGAUGUCAGCAUUGAUGUGACCCAGAAAUGAGGGGAGAGUGAUGGGAAUUCACUGUGCUGGGGAAUUCAGUGCUGCAGAUAGUGAAACACCUUCCAAACCAGAAGAGGUUGCUCUGUGUUCCAAUAUUACUGAUGGUAAAGGAAAUGUUGUGUGAAAUGUUCUGGUCAGCCAAGGAAGUGGACCAUGCAGCAUGGGAUGGCAGCCCCUUCGUGAUCCCCGAGGCUUUGGUGCUGGGAUCAGCACAAGGAAGGACGCCAGAGGAAAAAGUAUGAGAUUACCUCUCAGCAAAACCCUUUGGCCUGAAUCACUGACAUCUUUGAUUUAAGCAGUAAUUUAAAACAUGCAUGAUGAGAAGUCAGGGAAGGGAUCCAGGAAGGCCUGGGGUCCAGCCAACCUGGUGUGCCUGCCAAUUUGCUGUUCUGAAGGUCAGGUUCAGGUUGGAAACGUAUUGCUCAGAGGAAGCAGAUGGAAGAAGAGGUGUCUCUGACUUUGAAUCAGCUUCUGUAUGAUCAUGGCUUAAUGAUCAUAAAUCCUCUGGGGCCUGCAACCUAACAAGGGAAUAAAGGAGGAAGCGCCGUCUCUCUCAGAUCAAAGUAAAGAGAAAAGCUGAGAUGUAAAGGAGACAAAAUGAGCUGCAGGGUAUGUGAAAAUCAGAGCUCCCAUACAGCUUGCUGGAGACUGCCAAAAUAGGGUUCUCCACAGCCAUCCCCUACCUAUGCAAUAUAGUGAUGGGAGCGUUUUUAGAUAAGAUCAGACCCAGAGAGAACAUGCCUGGCUCUGUUUCUUCCAGCGGAACAAUAUGGAAACCCACUGCUGGGAAACCGUUUUUCCGAGCCAGAGAGGAGGCAGGGAAUUGUUCUGUGCAACCAUUCAGGAGCCUCCGCUCCCACGCAUUCUCCCGCUUGCUGACACCCUGCCAGGACCGCAAAGGAGGAAUUGAUUUACAUGCAGUAAGUCAACUAAAUAAAUAGAUAAAUAAAGCCCUUCCUACCUUGCUCAGCUAAAGAAAGGGAGGGACUAAGAUGAAAUUCAGUGGGAAGUCCUCUGCAGGUGUGCUGCUGCUGCUGCUGCCCGGAGCUGGGCACUGGGUGCUGACAGCACUGGUAAACGUGAUAUUUAUUCCCUGGGAGGGAAUUUUGGACUGCUCUUCGUAAGGCUUGUCACUUACUGUCUUCUGUUCUUGCUACUGGACUUGGUGCUGUGUGAGAUCCCUGAGCUCAGGCAGCUUUCGGUGGCUUCAGCAAGUGUGUCCCAAUUGUUUCAGUUCUUAUUUCGAUGAGCUAGUUCCUAAAAGCCCAGAUUCACUGCAGAAAGAUACCCCUUUGGCCUGAAACACUUCUCCUUUUGGGGACAGUGUCAAAUUGCUUGAAGAAAGAGCAUACAGAAGAGGGUUAUAGCAGUAUCCAUCCUCAAACUGGAUCCCAUCCUAUCCGAACUCCCAUUAAUCUGCUCCUUCCUGAGGAGUCUGCCCUGUAGACCACUGUGCUUAAUAGGUGCUCUCCUCUGUGAUUUUCCUCCCCCUUUCCUACUUCUGGUCGUUUCAGCGUUCAUUGACAAAGGGGAAGUGGGGGUGUAGUGUGAAGAAAUACCACUGCACUUUGAAGCUUGCUCCUUUGAGCCAGCCUGUCCCUGUCUGGGAGCAGGUAGCCCACAACCGUGCACCAUUCCUUCCUACUUCGUCAUGCCCUCAGCUGCCCACACAGCUGCAGAAAUGCAGGGAAUAGGUUUGUAGGCCAUGAUGUGUUCUCGUGAAUUAUCUCCCAAUAAAACAGAGAUCUGGUGAUGGAGAUAGCGCUGCUGGGAGCUAAAAUGUGAGUCUGUGCCUGAAACUGCCCUUGGGUUUCAUGGGGGCAUUCAACUCCCACUCUAUUUAAAUGCAAAUGACCUUUUCCUUCGCACUCCACUACUACCAGAACCGGGUCAGCCAAGAGAACAGUUGUUUCACUUUGUUAUAAAAAAUUGCUCAACUGACAUUCUCAUGGAGCUAAAGUUCUACUUCUCCUGCUAACAGACUGCCACAGCAGAUGAGAUGGGGGUGAAGUUCAGGAAAUUUUCAUGUACCAGGUAGUUCAGUUUAAGGCAACAAUCAAUAGCAAAUUACAGCUGGAAUAGAGAGGAGGGUAGCUCUACUUGCUUGAAUACCUGUGAUGGGGGCCUACCUCCCGAGAAAGGAGGCAGAAAUGUCCUUUACUGACAGCAUUUUCCUGCCUUUUCCCAGAGCAGCAGGCGUGCUGCUCUUUAAUCCCAGCAAAGGAUAGGAGCCAGCCCCAGGAUACCUUGCACCCAGAAAUUGACUCGAGCAAAUAUAUAUGUGUGUGUGUGUAUGUACAUACACAAGAGCUGUAGAUAAAAUGUAUGGAUUCAACAGAUACAGCUUCCCUGUACUGCUCUUUGUUUCACACUAUUAACCCUGUCCCCUCUCUCCUUGCUCACAUCUCUUCUCUGCCUUGCCCAAAAGCCCAUUGCUCUUUGCUCAAACUGACGGGACAGCUGACGUGGAGAAGUUAACCAGGAACAAGUGUUUCCCACCUGUGUGCAGCUGAACAUGGUGCACUUUGGUUUCAGUUCUGACGAAGUGCCGGUGAGCCUGACAGUGCAUCUGUUUUUCUAACUCUCUUGGUUAGUCCGAG